rnacentral:rRNA from 1 species
GAUGAACGCUGGCGGCGUGCCUAAUACAUGCAAGUCGAGCGAACGGACGAGAAGCUUGCUUCUCUGAUGUUAGCGGCGGACGGGUGAGUAACACGUGGAUAACCUACCUAUAAGACUGGGAUAACUUCGGGAAACCGGAGCUAAUACCGGAUAAUAUUUUGAACCGCAUGGUUCAAAAGUGAAAGACGGUCUUGCUGUCACUUAUAGAUGGAUCCGCGCUGCAUUAGCUAGUUGGUAAGGUAACGGCUUACCAAGGCAACGAUGCAUAGCCGACCUGAGAGGGUGAUCGGCCACACUGGAACUGAGACACGGCACAGACUCCUACGGGAGGCAGCAGUAGGGAAUCGUCCGAAAUGGGGGAAAGCCUGACGGAGCAACGCCGCGUGAGCGAUGAAGGUCUUCGGAGCGGAAAACUCUGUUAUUAGGGAAGAACAUAUGUGUAAGGAACUGUGCACAUCUUGACGGUACCUAAUCAGAAAGCCACGGCUAACUACGUG